rnacentral:rRNA from 1 species
CCUACGGGAGGCAGCAGUAGGGAAUAUUGGGCAAUGGAGGCAACUCUGACCCAGCCAUGCCGCGUGCAGGAUGAAGGCGUUAUGCGUUGUAAACUGCUUUUAUAUAGGAAGAAAGAGUUCUUGCGAGAACAGUUGACGGUACUAUAUGAAUAAGCACCGGCUAACUCCGUGCCAGCAGCCGCGGUAAUACGGAGGGUGCAAGCGUUGUCCGGAUUUAUGGGUUUAAAGGGUGCGUAGGCGGUUUAUUAAGUCAGUGGUGAAAGACGGUCGCUCAACGAUUGCAGUGCCAUUGAUACUGGUAGACUUGAGUGAGAUUGAGGUAGCUGGAAUGGAUAGUGUAGCGGUGAAAUGCAUAGAUAUUAUCCAGAACACCAAUUGCGUAGGCAAGUUACUAGGUCUCAACUGACGCUGAGGCACGAAAGUGUGGGGUAUCAAACAGGAUUAGAUACCCUGGUAGUCCACACUGUAAACGAUGAUAACUAACUGUUGGCUUUCGGGUCAGUGGUACAGAGAAUAGUUAGUUAUCACCGUGGAGGUACGCCGGCGACGAGAACGUACGAAGAAGUUAGACGCGUGAGACGUACGACGAGGACGACGACGAGGGGAGGAGG